GACAGACGCCAAAAUCGGAACUUCGCAGCCCUCUCACGGCGAAAACACGGGUUCGAGUCCCGUAGGGGUCACCA
rnacentral:tRNA from 1 species